rnacentral:lncRNA from 1 species
GAGCAUGAGGGGGCAGCCAAGGGGCUGGGCAUCACAGAAGCCCUGACAUUUGCUGGGCUCCUACCCUGUGUCACAUAUUAUAUCAAGAACUUUAGGAGCUAAGAUAUUCUCUCACGAUGGAAGAGGUUAGUCCCAGUCCCGUUUGCCUGUGGACAUCUUGCAUCAUCCUCUGAACAAUCUUUCCCUUCCUUCCUCUUCUUUCCAGUUCUCGUCCCACCCUCUUCCCUCUCUUCUUUUCUUUUUUUUUUUCUCCCCUCAAGCCCAAGACUUUCCUGUCAUGCCAGGCAAUGAUUCAGCCACUUCAGUUCUGGGUGGAUGGAUAGGCAGGGCUUAAAGCAGGCAACCCUCAUGCUGUCAAAGCCAAAAAGUAGAGGAAUUAUAAAAGCAUGAGUGGACGCAUCAACAAAAGGAAUAGCUAAACACAGCCUGAAAUAGGAUGCCUUCAAACAUGAGACUAAUUAUUAAAAGAAUUUCAAUUUUGUCUUUACCAAGACAUGAGUUCCUUAUGUACUGCAUGCUGUCUUCUGCUUUUUAUUUGAAGAAAUGUGGCAUUUGGGAAGCAGCAGAUGUCCCCCCUGUGGAAUCAAUGUGAAAUGAUAUUUUUGUAACAUCAUUAAAAAGUCUAUCAAGGCUGAGGCAGGAGAAUCGCUUGAACCCGGGAGGCAGAGGUUGCAGUGAACCGAGAUUGCACCACUGAACUCCAGCCUGGGCAACAACAGCGAAACUCUGUCUCAAAGAAAAGAAAAAAAAAAAAAGUAUGAACUCUGGAAUCAAGACAGGCCUGAUUUCAACCCUAGCUCCUCUGUGACCCUGAGGCACUGCUAAACUUCCCUGGGCCCCAUCAGGAAACGUGAAUCCCACAAACAGCCAGCAGAGGGACCCACUCCCAGCCUCCAGAAAGUACUCAAUCAACUGGGCCUUUGUGAAGCAGGUUCUGCCUGCCUGGCCAGAGACUAGCUUGUGGAGUUCCAGAUCCCAGCCUUCUUAGCCUGCUUCAGCUCCAGCCCAGAUGAGGCAAAGCUGUAGCAAUUGCCGGCUCUCCUGAGCCCCACACGGCUUGUAUCAUGGCUAGUGAACUUCAGAGAGAUGCAUAAGGGCCAGUGAAGUAUUUUCAGUUCUGAAGCCACAGCCUGUGCCAUGUGGGGGUUUUCACCCUGCACUGAGGUGAUGCAUCUGGCUAGGCUCCAGGGCUUUGUGAGCAUUUUCCUGAGGGUCCCAUCUAUGGCUACCAUCAUGCAGUGUAACUUGUUUUCAACAUCAACAACGAGCUGCUCAAAGAAUAAGUUCUCUUUUGAGACCAGCCUGGCCAACAUGGUGAAACCCUGUCUCUACUAAAAAUACAAAAAUUAGCCAGGCAUGGUGGUGCAAGCUUGUAAUCCCAGCUACUCAGGAGGCUGAGAAGGAAGAAUCACUUGAACCUGGGAGGCAGAGGUUGCAGUGAGCCGAGAUCGUGCCACUGCACUCCAGUCUGGGUUACCGCGUGAGACCCUGUCUCAAAAAAAAUAAAAUAAAAAUAAAAGAUUAAGUUCUCACAACAGCAGGCUGGAGGCAGGGUGACAUUAGCACUCUUCA